UACGUAGGGUGCGAGCGUUAAUCGGAAUUACUGGGCGUAAAGCGUGCGCAGGCGGUUCGUUGUGUCGGCGGUGAAAGCCCCGGGCUUAACCCGGGAAUGGCCGUCGAAACUGGCGAACUGGAGUGUGGCAGAGGGGGGUGGAAUUCCGCGUGUAGCAGUGAAAUGCGUAGAGAUGCGGAGGAACACCGAUGGCGAAGGCAGCCCCCCUGGGCUGACACUGACGCUCAGGCACGAAAGCGUGGGGAGCAAACAGG
rnacentral:rRNA from 1 species